CAGAUAAAUUGCAAUCGCCAAUUGGCACGUGUGACGUGUGCAAAAAGUCAAAAACUCAUUAAAACUGCACAAGUAGUAGCUAUAAACAAUUUGACAGUUUUGGAAGGCUAAAUUUAGGUAAUAUUUCCAUGUAAAUAGAUUCUAAUAUACUUACAUCCGUUGUCAGAUAACACCAAGUUAAUGAAGAUGAGUAAAAUGAACAGGAAAGAAAAUAUUUUACUUGGAAUAUUUGAAUUAUGAAUCAUCCUGUCUUUGUUUACAUCUGCUGUUUGCG